CAGUCUGCCCCAGAGAGUGGGGGCUAGCUGGUGACUGGCAGUGGCCUUAUCCUGAGGUGAGGUGGGGUUAGUGGCUGGGGGUUCCCCUGGGAGGGGAGACCUAGCGUGUGGGUAUUGCCAGGGGGCAGCACCCAGAGCAAGGGGCACCGGGGUCGUGGGAGGGACACGGGGGCCAGUGCAGAGGACAAGGCGGAUCACCGGCCUGCAGAGGGCGCUCCAGAGGCUGGUGAGCUAAUUCCCUGGACGACCAGCAGAAGGCGCCGCAGGGGUGAGUCCGGACCUUCUCUUACACCGCACGAGGAAAUAAGGAAACAAAUCAACAGAGCCAGACCUGUACCCAGAAGCCUCCUGCUGCAAGACAAGCCCAAGAAAGAAGCCAACAGAACUUCACUGGCCAUCACCUACAGUCCUCAGCUUAAACCUCUCCAACGCAUCAUCAGUGAUCUACAACCCAUCCUGGACAAUGAUCCCUCGCUUUCACAGACCUUGGGAGGCAGCCCAGUCCUCGCCCACAGACAACCCACCAACAUUAAGCAUAUUCUCACCAGCAACAAAGCUCGAUGCCAACUCUGCCCACAUAUUUACACCAGCGGCACCAUCACAGGACCUAACCAGAUCAGCUACAACAUCACCAGUUCAUUCACCUGCACGUCCACCGAUGUUAUAUACGCCAUCAUGUGCCAGCAGUGCCCCUCUGCUAUGUACAUCGGCCAAACUGGACAGUCCCUACAUAAAAGGAUAAAUGGACAAAAGACAGAUAUUAGCAAUGGCAACAUACAAAAACCUGGAGGAGUACAAACAGCAAACAGGAAAACAUCAAAAAAGAGCUCUCCGACCUGGAGACUUUCAUACAUAACCAACUCUCCACACAAACUGACUUUACUAAAAGAAGACAGGAGAUCCACAUUACACACUUCACCUUUCUACAAAGGAAAAAGGACUGUUAGCUGUCUAAAAUCCUACCUGCCACAUGGGGCCACGAUAGAAUAGUGGUACCCCUAAAUCACCCAGCAAUAUCGUCAAUUUAUCCAGCUCCACACUUAACUCGGCAGAAGCGACUGUCCUAUCUCGGGGACUCUCUUUUUGCCCCACCACCCCCACAAACAUGAUACAGUUCUGCGCUGAUCUGGAAGCCCUCUAGUCUAUAAGGUGCCACGGGACUCUUUGUUGCUUUUCAUACCAGAGGUUCCCAACAUGCUUUACAACCCAACUCCCCAACAGUCUG
rnacentral:lncRNA from 1 species